GACGAAGGGGGCUAGCGUUGUUCGGAAUUACUGGGCGUAAAGCGAGUGUAGGCGGUUGUUCAAGUCAGGGGUGAAAGCCUUGAGCUCAACUCAAGAAAUGCACUUGAUACUGGAUGACUAGAGGACCGGAGAGGAUAGUGGAAUUCCCAGUGUAGUGGUGAAAUACGUAGAUAUCGGGAGGAACACCAGUGGCGAAGGCGACUACCUGGCCUGUUCUUGACGCUGAGGCGCGAAAGCUAGGGGAGCAAACGGG
rnacentral:rRNA from 1 species